UCAUCUGGAAACGGCGGCUAAUACCGGAUGUGCCGAAAGGUGAAAGGCUUGCUGCCUGAAGAUGAGCUCGCGUCUGAUUAGCUAGUUGGUGUGGUAAGAGCGCACCAAGGCGACGAUCAGUAGCUGGUCUGAGAGGAUGAUCAGCCACACUGGGACUGAGACACGGCCCAGACUCCUACGGGAGGCAGCAGUGGGGAAUUUUCCGCAAUGGGCGAAAGCCUGACGGAGCAAUACCGCGUGAGGGAGGAAGGCUCUUGGGUUGUAAACCUCUUUUCUCAAGGAAUAAGUUCUGAAGGUACUUGGGGAAUCAACAUCGGCUAACUCCCUGCCCACAGCCGCGGUAAUACGGAGGAAGCAAGCGUUUUCCGGAAUGAUUGGGCGUAAAGGGUCCCCAGGGGGCCCUGGAAGUCUGCUGUUAAAAAACAAAGCUUAACUUUGUAAAAGCAGUGGAAACUACCGAACUUGAGUGGGUUCGGGGUAAAAGGAAUUCCUGGGGGAACGGUGAAAUGGCUUAAGAUCAGGAAAAACACCGGUGGCGAAGGCGCUCUACUAGGCCCGCAACUGACACUGGAGGGGACGAAAGCUAGGGGAGCGAAUGGGAUUAGAUACCCCCAUUAUCUCAGGGUGGGAAAGGUGGGAUUAUCUGGUCCUAGUGGCCGCGCGCCCCCCCCCGUGCGGAGGGGUU
rnacentral:rRNA from 1 species